rnacentral:rRNA from 1 species
GGCAUGCCUAACACAUGCAAGUCGAACGAAGGCUUCGGCCUUAGUGGCNCACGGGUGCGUAACGCGUGGGAACCUGCCCCUCGGUUCGGAAUAACAGUUAGAAAUGACUGCUAAUACCGGAUGAUGACUUCGGUCCAAAGAUUUAUCGCCGAGGGAUGGGCCCGCGUAGGAUUAGCUAGUUGGUGGGGUAAAGGCCUACCAAGGCGACGAUCCUUAGCUGGUCUGAGAGGAUGAUCAGCCACACUGGGACUGAGACACGGCCCAGACUCCUACGGGAGGCAGCAGUGGGGAAUAUUGGACAAUGGGCGAAAGCCUGAUCCAGCAAUGCCGCGUGAGUGAUGAAGGCCUUAGGGUUGUAAAGCUCUUUUACCAGGGAUGAUAAUGACAGUACCUGGAGAAUAAGCUCCGGCUAACUCCGUG